UUUGCGUUUGCUUACUUCGACUUAUCUCCCUGCGAUCUCCCUUUCGUUGACUCCAAUGGCUUCCUUCGCGGAAGCUGCGAUUAGUCUUUGAGGGAGAAGAACGAAUUGCUCCCCGACAGGCUUCGGUUGCUAUUUCUUCUGCGUUCCGAUAGCAUCCCCAUUCUUCCUCUCUCUCUCUCUCUCUCUCUCUCAUUCCCUUUCUGACCUCUUUGUUACUUGGACAAUCCCCUCUGUGUUUCCUCCUCUAACCGAUCUGAUCCCUUCCGAGCUUCACAAAAUUUCAAUCUUUUCUGAUUUAAGCCCAUUAAAAGGCACCCAGCUUGUUCAUUUCUCUUCUUGAUCGUUCUGUUGUUGGGUGACUCGGAGAAAGUGAGAUUUUGCCAUCCGAUUCGUCUUUUUUCUCUAAUAUUUUCCUUUUAUUCUGCCAAAAUUUUGGAUUUUUACUAGCAUCUUAGGUGAUUUCAUCCAUAAAAAUCCCCCUUUUUUUAGCUCAUCCGAAAUGGGUGGCCGGUUCAGCCGGAGGCCCACCAUGGUGGCGGCCCGCCAGGAUAGCGGCAGCGGUGGCGGCGGCGCCCCCUCCGACGCUGGCCAGAACGGUAUUCCGUACACGGCGGAGCUGAGCUACUACGAGGCGGCGUGCCGUGAUGACCCUGACGUCCGGUCCUUCGAUGCCACGCUACAGCGGCGCACUAGUCACGCCAUCUCCACCCUCGCCCUCGGUGUCGAGCUCCGCUCCCUCUCCUUCAACACCCUCAGUGAGGUCACCGGCUGCCUCCUCGACACGAACAAGGAAGUGGUCGAUGUCAUCCUGGAGUCCAAGAAGGACAUCUGGAAGAACCCCGAGCUCUUCGACCUCGCCAACGACUACUUCGAGUGCAGCAUCCAGACCCUCGACUACUGUACCGAGCUCGAGAAGUGCCUCAAGAGAGCUCGCGAUAGCCAUUUGAUAAUUCACUUCGCUCUCCAGCACUUCGAGAAUGAGAACAAGGACAAGGACAAGAUGGAGAUCGAAGAUGGGAAAAGGAAGUACGCGAUGACAUUAGAGAAACUGAGACAUUUUAAGGCUGCCGGAAAUCCAUUCACCGAAGAAUUCUCUCAGGUGUUCCAAUCUGUUUACAGGCAGCAGCAGCUAAUGCUGCAGAAGCUGCUGCUGAGAAAGAAGAAGCUCGACAAGAAGCUGAGAUCCAUCAAUGCAUGGAGGAAGGUGUCGAACAUAAUCUUUGUGUCUGCUCUCGCAGCUGUCGUUAUAUGCUCUGUUGUAGCGGCUGCUGUAGCUGCGCCGCCCGUUGCAGCUGCCUUGGCUGCUGCAUGCACCAUUCCGAUCGGUUCGGCUGGAAAGUGGAUCAACUCACUGUUAAAGAACUACCAGAAUGCUUUGGGAGAAGAGAGGGACCUUCUUUCUUCAAUGCAAUUUGGCACCUGCAUUGCUCUGAAAGAUUUGGAUACCAUAAGGGUGAUGGUUGAUAAUCUGGAAAUUCAUUUCAAUUCGCUGUCGGAAGAUGCAGAUUUUGCCCUCAAGGAUGUGGAGGCAAUGAAGUUUGCAAUCGAGGAAAUUAAGAGGAAGUUGGAGCAGUUUACGACGAGCAUCGAGAAUUUGGGAGUGCAAGUUGAUCGGUGCAGCAGGGAUAUUAGGAAAACCAGGACAGUGGUUUUGCAAAGGAUCAUGAAGCACCCAAUUGAGUGAGGAAAACAAAAAAAAGAACAACUUGGUAAGGCACAAUAACUGCUUUAAUUUUCUUCACUCGUUUACUUGGCCUGUUUGAUUGAUUGUAGAAAUUUGAUAUCUUCCUCGAUCAUUACAAUCUGCAGCCAUAAACAUGUUGAACUAAUGUCUCUUCUUAUGAUGACAUGAAGGGGUAAGGGGGAGAUCGGAUUUCUGUGUCAUGCCCACUGUCCACUUAUUUUAGCUUUAUUUGGAACUCUACAAAGGAUUUCAUUCUUGCCAUGAAAAGAAUUGAUUUUACAGUAGGGUGUAUUAAACAUUUUAACCCAAAUUAUAUUGAGUUGCUGUCUACCUUAUAUUGAGACUUUAAAUUCAAUCAAAAUCUUGAAAGCUCUCAGAUUUCACCCGAUCCAAUCUACGCUACUUCAUAAUUUGGGGAGCCAUCCUCAAUGUCGAGACUUCAAUUUCCUUCAUUGACAUCAGCAUGAGUUUAAACUCUAGAUGCAACUGGAAAGUCUACUUGAUUUGUUGCAAUAUAUAAGCAUGGUUUCCAUGCAGAAUGUAGUUGUUAUGUAUGCUAUUGCAAUUGCAUAAGCAACUCCUUUUACAAUCUUGCUUGAUAGCUCAGUAAUUGAGGACCCUACUGCCUUGCUAUAUGAGACUUGAAGAAAACUUGGAAUUUGCAUCCAAGGUUUUCUCUUUGGUAAAUUAUCAAUCUCAAUUGAUGACUAAUGAGACUCCUCUUUCUCAGUAAAUCAAGGUCUGUGAUAAAGGAACAUGGGUCCGAGUAAAAAUAUAUUUGUCUAGUCAAUAGAUCAUUUGCCUAAUGAUCCUCACUACAUAAUUAAAACCUUAAUUUAAACUAACACUGGGUUUUCGUUCAGUAUGGCAUUCCCCUACAACUAGAGACUUUACAAACAGUCAAAGACUAGUUCUUAGAGGCCUUUGUCUUUGUCCAGAGCUUGAUGUCUGUCUACAAUUACAGAACAUGCUGUUGUAGAGAACUCAGUGUGUCUGUGUGUGUAUAUAUAUUCCAAAAUACAAAUGCAUUAUGUCCAACUUCUAAGAUCACCACAUCAUAUUCUUCUGAUUUGUGGCUUUGCAGUGGUAGAUGCCGUUACUGAUCAGUGAUGGCAUUCACUUCUCCUGCAAAAGGAGCAAGAUAGUGGUUAGAAGAGAAUGUUAAGGUGAUAAGAGAUUGUUGCUGACAGAGUUAGGGAAGGAGUCAUCUUACGACAUUGUUGCUGCCGACGAAUGUCUAUGAUCGAUCUUCUUUUCACCAGGAAAUCCAGUGGGACUAAAAAGACCACAAACCUUAUCGACAACGAAGGCAUCCAUCCAGCAUAACAUCCGAGUGAUAGAAGGUCUAAAUUUAGGAUCUCAGCAGAUCGAUCGACGCGAUGUGAGAUUAAAUGUGUUUAUCACCUUGUAAAAUAACAAACCAGCAUAGUCUGAACUACAAUAAAAAUAGUACCCAAAUGCCAAAGACAAUAUAUUCAAAUAGGAUUUUUCCAAUCAAUUAUUUUACAUCUUAGGAUGACCCUAA